rnacentral:lncRNA from 1 species
AUUUUUCAAUUAGGCUAGGACUUAAUUAGUUAGUUUGUUAUAACUAAAUCCUAAGUUGGAUAGGAUUGAGUUCAAGAAUUAGUUAGAGUUUGAUCAAGAAUCAAGAGUCCUAUUUGGACUAGGACUUAACCAAACUUGUCUAACUAACUUCCCAACCCCAUGUGCCUAUUUAUUCUCCAUGCCCCACUCCUUUCACCAU